rnacentral:lncRNA from 1 species
GGGAAGAAAAUAAAUCAAAAAAGAAAAAAAAAAAGUGGUGGUUCUCAUGUCAUCAACACUUAGGCACCAUCCAUCAUGCCAUGCGAUGCGAUGCGAUGAGAGAUCAUCUCUAAUCUCUCUCUUUCUACACAGACUAAUCCACACGACAUCACAAAAAAAAAGCAAAGAGAGAAGCCAAACAAACUAGUAGUACGAGUACUACUUUGAAAACACAGUAUCAUUGUCUUUUUGGUCCGACACGUGUCAGUUCCAGGCAUGUAGGUCCCUUCAAUGAUUUGGUAUGAUAAGAAAAAAAAGAGAGUAUCUUAUUCCGAUUCAGUCCCCCACAACCCACCUUAUUAUUAUUUUUA